rnacentral:rRNA from 1 species
UGGGGAAUAUUGGGCAAUGGGCGAAAGCCUGACCCAGCGACGCCGCGUGGGUGAUGAAGGCCUUCGGGUUGUAAAGCCCUGUCAUGCGGAAAGAACAGUCCUGUGGCUAAUAUCCACGGGAUUUGACGGUACCGCAGGAGGAAGCACCGGCUAACUCCGUGCCAGCAGCCGCGGUAAUACGGAGGGUGCAAGAGUUGUUCGGAAUUAUUGGGCGUAAAGGACGCGUAGGCGGUAAUGAAAGUCAGAUGUGAAAUACUUCGGCUCAACUGAAGAACUGCAUCUGAAACUUCAUAACUAGAGUACAGAAGAGGGAAACGGAAUUCCCGGUGUAGAGGUGAAAUUCGUAGAUAUCGGGAGGAACACCAGUGGCGAAGGCGGUUUCCUGGUCUGAUACUGACGCUGAGGCGUGAAAGUGUGGGGAGCAAACA